CAAGGGCACUUCAUGCUUGCAUGAAAGGGCAUUUGUUCAUUAGACAAGGCAAAGGAUAUGAGCAUGUAGCACGAUAGUGCGGAAUGCGAAUGACCGCAGAAUUGCGAAAGCGCGAAGCGCGGAGCAAUUCGUAG
rnacentral:sRNA from 1 species